rnacentral:rRNA from 1 species
UACUAUAGCUUGACACUGAACAUUGAGCCUUGAUGUGUAGGAUAGGUGGGAGGCUUAGAAGUGUGGACGCCAGUCUGCAUGGAGCCGACCUUGAAAUACCACCCUUUAAUGUUUGAUGUUCUAACGUUGACCCGUGAUCCGGGUUGCGGACAGUGUCUGGUGGGUAGUUUGACUGGGGCGGUCUCCUCCUAAAGAGUAACGGAGGAGCACGAAGGUUGGCUAAUCCUGGUCGGACAUCAGGAGGUUAGUGCAAUG